ACGCACACAUGCAUACACGCACUAACGGCCCAGCACUCAACAUCCUUCACUAUGACUUACCUUCCCUCCUUUUUUUCUGCGCUACCGCCAGCGCGCACGUCUUUUCUGCGUAUUUCUCUAUAGCUGCGUCCGUGUCUUACCAUCGCCAAGCUUUUGGCACAAACACCUGCGCACGUAAUCGCGCAACGUGUUCUUCUCUUGGCUCUCGCUGUCUCACUACUCAUUAUCCACAGCACGCAUUCGAUCGUUUGUGUUCUUGUCGUUGCUCACCCACGACGCCUCUCCUUCCCGCCCUCUCUACGCACGCGCACGCAUAUAUAUAUACAUAUAUAUAUAUGUAUAUAUAUAUAUAUAUAUAUGUAUAUAUUUCCUCUUUCUCUUUGAUGUUUCUCCUUCCCAUUUGUGUUGUCCGCCUACGCCACUGCGCGCGCGGGGGGUGGGAGGGGCAGUGAAUUUGUGCGAAGCAGAAAAAGGAGCCACAUCGCCGCUCUUUACUCCCCCUCACUUUCACUGUCUCCUUCUGUGUGUUGAUCCUUUCUUUUUUAACUAUUAUUCGGUUUUCGUCGUGUGCCCCAUCCCAGCUCUCGCUCUGCCUGCCUGCCUGUCUGUCACUUUCACGCUUCUUGCGCUGUGCGUAUACGUCUCCGUCUACCUUUUCCUUUAUCCUCUCUGCUGCCGCUGCUGCGGUCCUUUGCAAACACCGUCUACGUUGGCAGUCACAUCCUCUUUCGCUGGUUUCUUCCCUUUAAUCGCGUGCUUUUUUGUGCCCCAACUGGCGCGCAGAUCUCCCUCUCCUAUCCACCUCUCACCUCUUCCUCCCUUCCCGCCCUCUCAGUCGUGCAUGGAGAAGCAGCUACCACUGAAAUUGGAAUCCGCAUUUGCGCGACACGGGCGGACUGGUGGAAAGAGUGCGCUGUGCGAGGGUGGGCAGAGGGAGGGGGCAAGGUGCUGUGCGUAUGCGUGCCUCGACUUGUCCGAGGCGCAUAUGCCUUUAACUCAAGCGGCAGUGAAAUAACCAAAGGUGGCGCGAAAAAAAAAGAAAACGAGAGCG
rnacentral:misc_RNA from 1 species